UAAACUUCGCCACCGGGUGAAGUGUAUAAGGUAUUCUGCAGCAUUCCAUUAGGUCUUUGGAGGAAUGUUAUCAGAAUACCUUUUUAUU
rnacentral:ncRNA from 1 species